rnacentral:sRNA from 1 species
AGCAAAUUAAAAAGGAUCUGAAGAAAUACUCUAAGAUCUUUGAACAGAAGGAUCGUUUGAGUCAGUCCAAAGCCUCAAAGGAAUUGGUGGAGAGAAGGCGCACCAUGAUGGAAGAUUUCCGGAAGUACCGGAAAAUGGCCCAGGAGCUCUAUAUGGAGCAGAAAAACGAGCGCCUGGAGUUGCGAGGAGGGGUGGACACUGACGAGCUGGACAGCAACGUGGACGACUGGGAAGAGGAGACCAUUGAGUUCUUCGUCACUGAAGAAAUCAUCCCCCUCGGGAAUCAGGAGUGACCUGGAGCGCUGUGGUGAGUGUCUGCAGGGGGCGCAAUGGGGGUCCUGUUGGCUGCUCUCACGCUGCUUCGGUUAUCCCCAUCACUGAGGAAGCAUCUCCUUUAAGGCAGGGGUGAAGGAUGAAGCCCUAGUGUCGUGUGCCCAGGGUUAGCUGAACCUCGUGAAAUGUGGAGUGGGUGCUGACGUGGCCUUGACUGCUCCCUCUGACCACAUUGCAGAUGGUGCCUUUCAGGCGAUGCUGGGUGAGGGAGGAGCUGUGGCCAGGUGUUGGGAAGUGCCAGGAAGAGGAGGGUGGCCAUGCCUGGCCAUUUCCUGACGCCUGUGCUAGUGACGGCCGCGGUGUG